GCGCCCCGCGUGCCAAUGAUGUCAGAGCCGCCCAAUCGCCGCGCGGCAGGCAUCGCGGCUCCUCCUGGCGUGACCGAGCCUGGCCGUGACGGCUCCCGCCAUUGGCCCGAUUCGAAAUUCGCCCCCUCCUGAUUGGCGAGCUCGGCGGCAGGCUAUUUUUAGCAGGGUAUAUAAAGCAGGGAAGCGGCUGCUUUUUCGGAAGGGGAGGUGUGCGCUCGCGAGGCGGCCGCGCGCGAGCGAGCGAGGGAGCGAGCGGGCGGGCCGCGCGGGGGAGGGGAGCCGAGCCGGCGGCCGCGCGCUGCGGUGCGGUCUCCUGGGUCGUGCUUUCCCAGUGAGCAGGAGGGCUGGAAAGUUACUUCCUUCACCCCCCAAGGGACAGCCGAGGCCCUCACUGACACUUCGGUGGGGGAGCUGGGUCUCAGAGCAGAACAGGAUGAUCAUCAUCAUGGGGCUCUGCACGGAGAUCUUCCCUCCCCGGGCUGGGGCCGCGCAGCUCCCCUGGGGAUGGGUACCAUGGCGGGUGUGCUCCUGGCCUGCACCAUCGGACAGCGCUUCUCCAGGGAAAGUUCAUUCUUUGGUGCCCGCUUCCACCUAAGCACAGACACUUAUUUGCAUGUCACUAUCGCAGCACCAGCUUUUUUUAAGACUAGACCCGUUGAUGAUAUGGAUGUCUUAAUAGAAUUUAAGAAAAUGUGGUGGUUAGCUUUCCAAAGGAGUGUCCAGCACAUGGAACAAACGCUUCUAAUGCCCUUCUUUUAUUAAAGGACUUCUGAUUUUCCGCUGAUGUUUCCAUUGUAACCUCUACUCCGUUAUUUCCAUUUCCCCACUUUUCUCUGUAUCUGUUGCUAGCUACCUACAGAUGGUAACUAAAGUAUUUAA